rnacentral:rRNA from 1 species
UAGGGAAUAUUGCACAAUGGGCGAAAGCCUGAUGCAGCAACGCCGCGUGCACGAAGAAGGCCUUCGGGUCGUAAAGUGCUUUUCGGGGAGACGAGGAAGGACGGUAUCCCCGGAAUAAGGAUCGGCUAACUACGUGCCAGCAGCCGCGGUAAAACGUAGGAUCCGAGCGUUAUCCGAAUUCACUGGGCGUAAAGCGCGUGCAGGCGGUCUGGUAAGUUGGAUGUGAAAUCUCCUGGCUCAACUGGGAGGGACGUUCAAUACUGUCAGACUAGAGGGCGACAGAGGAAGGUGGAAUUCCCGGUGUAGUGGUGAAAUGCGUAGAUAUCGGGAGGAACACCAGUGGCGAAGGCGGCCUUCUGGGUCGCACCUGACGCUCAGACGCGAAAGCUAGGGGAGCGAA